AUUGAACGCUGGCGGCAGGCCUAACACAUGCAAGUCGAGCGAUCGGCGGACGGGUGAGUAAUGUCUGGGAAACUGCCUGAUGGAGGGGGAUAACUACUGGAAACGGUAGCUAAUACCGCAUACCAUCAGAUGUGCCCCGAUGGGAUUAGCAAGUCGAUGGGGUAACGGCUCACCUAGGCGACGAUCCCUACCUGGUCUGAGAGGAUGACCAGCCACACUGGAACGAGGACACGGUCAAAACUCCUACGGGAGGCAGCGGUGGGGAAUAUUGCACAAUGGGCGCAAGCCUAAUGCAGCCAGGCCGCGUGUGUGAAGAAGGCCUUCGGGUUGUAAAGCACUUUCAGCGGGGAGGCGUUACCCGCAUAAGAAGCACCGGCUAACUCCGUGCCAGCAGCCGCGGUAAUUC
rnacentral:rRNA from 1 species